rnacentral:rRNA from 1 species
UUCGGAUCGCAGGCUGCAACCCGCCUGCGUGAAGUUGGAAUCGCUAGUAAUCGCGGAUCAGCAUGCCGCGGUGAAUACGUUCCCGGGCCUUGUACACACCGCCCGUCACACCAUGAGAGUCGGGAACACCCGAAGUCCGUAGCCUAACCGCAAGGGGGGCGCGGCCGAAGGUGGGUUCGAUAAUUGGGGUGAAGUCGUAACAAGGUAGC